AGAGUUUGAUCCUGGCUCAGAUUGAACGCUGGCGGCAUGCCUUACAUAUGCAAGUCGAAUGGUAAUGCGGGGUAACCUGGUGACGAGUGGCGAAUGGGUGAGUAAUGCAUCGGAAUGUGCCCAGUAGUGGGGGAUAGUCCGGCGAAAAGCCGGAUUAAUACCGCAUAUGAUUUAUGGGUGAAAGCGGGGGAUUUGUAAGAGCCUCGUGCUAUUGGAGCGGCCGAUGUUAGAUUAGCUAGUUGGUGGGGUAAAGGCCUACCAAGGCGAUGAUCUGUAGCUGGUCUGAGAGGAUGACCAGCUAUAUUGGGAUUGAGAUAUGGCCCAGACUCCUAUGGGAGGCAGCAGUGGGGAAUUUUGGAUAAUGGGCGUAAGCCUGAUCCAGCCAUGCCGCGUGCGGGAAGAAGGCCUUUGGGUUGUAAACCGCUUUUGUCAGGGAAGAAACGCUCUGGGUUAAUAUCCCGGGGUAAUGAUGGUACCUGAAGAAUAAGCACCGGUUAACUACGUGUUAGUAGUUGUGGUAAUAUGUAGGGUGCAAGCGUUAAUCGGAAUUACUGGGCGUAAAGCGUGCGUAGGCGGUUAUACAAGACAGAUGUGAAAUCCUUGGGUUUAACCUGGGAAUUGCAUUUGUGAUUGUAUGGCUAGAGUACGGUAGAGGGGGAUGGAAUUCCGCGUGUAGCAGUGAAAUGCGUAGAUAUGCGGAGGAAUAUUGAUGGCGAAGGCAAUCCCCUGGAUCUGUACUGACGUUUAUGCACGAAAGUGUGGGGAGUAAACAGGAUUAGAUAUCCUGGUAGUCCACGUCUUAAACGAUGUUAACUGGUUGUUGGACGGUUUGUUGUUCAGUAACGAAGUUAACGCGUGAAGUUGACCGCCUGGGGAGUAUGGCCGUAAGGUUGAAACUCAAAGGAAUUGAUGGGGACCCGCACAAGCGGUGGAUGAUGUGGUUUAAUUCGAUGCAAUGCGAAAAACCUUACCUACCCUUGAUAUGUUAAGAAUCUUGCAGAGAUGUGAGAGUGCUCGAAAGAGAACUUGAACACAGGUGCUGUAUGGCCGUCGUCAGCUCGUGUUGUGAGAUGUUGGGUUAAGUCUCGCAACGAGCGUAACCCUUGUCAUUAGUCGCUAUGAAAGGGCAUUCUAAUGAGACUGCCGGUGAUAAACCGGAGGAAGGUGGGGAUGACGUCAGGUCCUUAUGGCCCUUAUGGGUAGGGUUAUACACGUCAUACAAUGGCCGGUAUAGAGGGCUGCUAACCCGUGAGGGGGGGUUAAUCCCAGAAAACCGGUCGUAGUCCGGAUCGCAGUCUGUAAUUUGACUGCGUGAAGUCGGAAUCGCUAGUAAUCGCGGAUUAGUUUGCCGCGGUGAAUAUGUUUUCGGGUCUUGUAUAUACCGCCUGUCACACCAUGGGAGCGGGUUCUGCCAGAAGUAGUUAGCCUAACCGUAAGGGGGGCGAUUACCAUGGCAGGAUUCGUGACUGGGGUGAAGUCGGAACAAGGUA
rnacentral:rRNA from 1 species